AUUGAACGCUGGCGGCAUGCCUUACACAUGCAAGUCAAACGGUAACAGGUCUUCGGAUGCUGACGAGUGGCGAACGGGUGAGUAAUACAUCGGAACGUGCCCGAGAGUGGGGGAUAACGAGGCGAAAGCUUUGCUAAUACCGCAUACGAUCUCAGGAUGAAAGCAGGGGACCGCAAGGCCUUGCGCUCACGGAGCGGCCGAUGGCAGAUUAGGUAGUUGGUGGGAUAAAAGCUUACCAAGCCGACGAUCUGUAGCUGGUCUGAGAGGACGACCAGCCUCACUGGGACUGAGACACGGCCCAGACUCCUACGGGAGGCAGCAGUGGGGAAUUUUGGACAAUGGGCGCAAGCCUGAUCCAGCCAUGCCGCGUGCAGGAUGAAGGCCUUCGGGUUGUAAACUGCUUUUGUACGGAACGAAAAGACUCUGGUUAAUACCUGGGGUCCAUGACGGUACCGUAAGAAUAAGCACCGGCUAACUACGUGCCAGCCGCCGCGGUAAAAC
rnacentral:rRNA from 1 species